AAUGAACGUUGGCGGCGUGGAUUAGGCAUGCAAGUCGCGCGACAAGGAACCUUCGGGUUCUGGAGGAGCGGCAAACGGGGUAGUAAGGCAUCGGAACGUACCCUCUUGUUGGGAAUAGCCGCGGGAAACUGCGAGUAAUGCCCAAUAAUCCCUACGGGGCAAAGGUCCGCCGCAGGAGGAGCGGCCGAUGUGAUACCAGCUAGUUGGUGAGGUAAUGGCUCACCAAGGCUUAGACGUCUAGGGGGUGUGAGAGCAUGGCCCCCACCACUGGGACGUGAGAUACUGCCCACGACACCUACGGGUGGGCUGCAGUCGAGAAUCUUCGGCGAAUAGGGCGGCAAGACCUCGACCGACGCAACGACCGCGUGCGGGAGUG
rnacentral:rRNA from 1 species